GACGAACGCUGGCGGCGUGCCUAAUACAUGCAAGUAGAACGCUGAAGCGAGGAGCUUGCUCUUCUUGGAUGAGUUGCGAACGGGUGAGUAACGCGUAGGUAACCUGCCUGGUAGCGGGGGAUAACUAUUGGAAACGAUAGCUAAUACCGCAUGAAAUUGCUUAUCGCAUGAUAAUUGAUUGAAAGAUGCAAUUGCAUCACUACCAGAUGGACCUGCGUUGUAUUAGCUAGUUGGUGAGGUAACGGCUCACCAAGGCGACGAUACAUAGCCGACCUGAGAGGGUGAUCGGCCACACUGGGACUGAGACACGGCCCAGACUCCUACGGGAGGCAGCAGUAGGGAAUCUUCGGCAAUGGGGGGAACCCUGACCGAGCAACGCCGCGUGAGUGAAGAAGGGUUUCGGAUCGUAAAGCUCUGUUGUAAGAGAAGAACGGGUGUGAGAGUGGAAAGUUCACACUGUGACGGUAUCUUACCAGAAAGGGACGGCUAACUACGUG
rnacentral:rRNA from 1 species